rnacentral:rRNA from 1 species
CCUACGGGUGGCAGCAGUGAGGAAUAUUGGUCAAUGGACGAGAGUCUGAACCAGCCAAGUAGCGUGAAGGAUGACUGCCCUAUGGGUUGUAAACUUCUUUUAUAUGGGAAUAAAAUGUUCCACGUGUGGGAUUUUGUAUGUACCAUAUGAAUAAGGAUCGGCUAACUCCGUGCCAGCAGCCGCGGUAAUACGGAGGAUCCGAGCGUUAUCCGGAUUUAUUGGGUUUAAAGGGAGCGUAGGUGGAUUGUUAAGUCAGUUGUGAAAGUUUGCGACUCAACCGUAAAAUUGCAGUUGAAACUGGCAGUCUUGAGUACAGUAGAGGUGGGCGGAAUGCGUGGUGUAGCGGUGAAAUGCUUAGAUAUCACGAAGAACUCCGAUUGCGAAGGCAGUUCACUGGACUGCAACUGACACUGAGGCUCGAAAGUGUGGGUAUCAAACAGGAUUAGAUACCCCUGUAGUC